AUUCUCAUGGCAGCACAUAUACUAAAAUUGGAACAAUACAGAGAAGGUUAGCAAGGCCCCUGUGCAAGGAUGACACGCAAAUUCGUGUAAUUCUUUCUUUAUUG